rnacentral:ncRNA from 1 species
UGGCCGUGGGUGGUGGUAGUGGCAACACCCACAUGGGAUUAAAGAAAGCGUUGGAACACCCACGGCCAUU